UGACCUCGGAUCAGGUAGGAAUACCCGCUGAACUUAAGCAUAC
rnacentral:rRNA from 1 species